UACGGAGGAUGCAAGCGUUAUCCGGAAUGAUUGGGCGUAAAGCGUCCGCAGGUGGCAAUGUAAGUCUGCUGUCAAAGCGUCUGGCUCAACCAGAUAAAGGCAGUGGAAACUACAUAGCUAGAGUAAGGUAGGGGUAGAGGGAAUUCCUGGUGUAGCGGUGAAAUGCGCAGAUAUCAGGAGGAACACCAGCGGCGAAGGCGGCACUCUGGGCUGGAACUGACGCUGAGGAGCGAAAGCGUGGGUAGCAAACAGG
rnacentral:rRNA from 1 species